GACGUAGGGCGCGAGCGUUGUCCGGAUUUAUUGGGCGUAAAGAGCUCGUAGGCGGCUCGUUGCGUCGACCGUGAAAACCCGGGGCUCAACUUCGGGCUUGCGGUCGAUACGGGCGGGCUAGAGUUCGGUAGGGGAGACUGGAAUUCCUGGUGUAGCGGUGAAAUGCGCAGAUAUCAGGAGGAACACCGGUGGCGAAGGCGGGUCUCUGGGCCGAUACUGACGCUGAGGAGCGAAAGCGUGGGGAGCAAACAGG
rnacentral:rRNA from 1 species